GCCCAAUCACAACUAUGAUAUUUAGGAAAAAGUUACUGUAGAGGCUUAUCUGGGCUUCCACCAACAGCUUGAUACUCCGCCCGAAUUUCUGCUUCAUAUUAUCUGACAGCUCUCUCUGCAAUUCACAGUCACAGAGAAAGCCAUACGAAUAAAGACCAUGAAAAUUUUGUACGGAAAAAGUUUCCCCCCAGAUUUGUCAUCAUUCCUCACAGAUGCAAGGGAUUUGUUAAUUAUUGAUCAAAAGAUUAUUGAUUAAGAGGUGUGGGAGUUCCGCGUUUACAACCUUGCCAGACGAGUAUUUGGCUGCCACAAACUUUUCUGGUAUAGGCUGCAAAGGACCAUCAUCGAUCACAAUACCCUGAUCAUCAUAUUUAAUAAUCAGUCUCAAGGUUAAUAGGCAAAACAACACCGGAGGACCUUUGCACGAAAAUCGAAGCAGGAAUAAGUUUUCAUACAGUAAGCAUUAACAUGCAUUAUUCACAGGGGAUUGCUAAUCCAUAACAGAAUCAACAUAUGAAACUUUGAAAGUUAGCAAACCUCUGGAGGGUCAAGUUUGGCCCCCAGGUUGCUGAGUUUAGCAUGAGCUUCAGCAUAAUCCUUGAAGAAGGCUUCUUGGUCUUCAGUAUAUUUCUCAGCAUAUACCUGCAAAAUUUCCAUGUAACACAGGAUACGCAUAGAACAUCAUCACUCUCAAUUAUGUUUUGUUUUACCUUGAAUGCUGGAUCUUCAAAAAUAGCUGCAUCAGUUGGCAACACCGGUAGAUCUUCAUCCCUCUUUUCCUUGAUAUCCUGUAGAGAAAACCCGUCGUGAGUAAAGGAAAACCUUGUACCAACUCCCACCAGCCUCCUAUUGGAGUGUGAGAAUUCACACCCAAAUAAGGGGAUACUAUUUGAAUACCUUGAAGUAGGAAUUAUCAAACUUCAACCAUUGUGCUGUCCAAGAUUGUCCUCCUGGUGCCCCUGGCCCGUCUUUCUGCCAUGAACAUAAUGCUAGUUAACUUUCUAGCUA